AGGUCUGACCUGCCCAAUGAUUAUUUUAAAUGGCCGCAGUAUUUUGACUGUGCAAAGGUAGCAUAAUCAUUAGUUUUUUAAUUGAAAGCUGGAAUGAAUGGUUUGAUGAAAAAAUAGCUGUCUCAAUAAAAUUUAUUUAGAAUUUUAAUUUUAAGUGAAAAAGCUUAAAUAUUUUAUGAAGACGAGAAGACCCUAUAGAGUUUAAUAUUAUUUUUACUAAUUGUUUUAGGUUUAUUUUUCAUAUUAGUAUUAGUGGUGUUUUGUUGGGGUGACAUAAAAAUUUAAGUAACUUUUUAUUUUUUUAUACAUUGAUUUAUGGAUUCAUGAUCCUGAUUUUUUGGAUUAUAAGAUUAAAUUACCUUAGGGAUAACAGCGUAAUUUCUUUGGAGAGUUCUUAUCGAUAGGGAAGUUUGCGA
rnacentral:rRNA from 1 species